rnacentral:misc_RNA from 1 species
UCUCGGCUUAUCACCGGCAGUCCCCCUAGAGUGCCCAACUGAAUGAUGGCAACUAGGGGCGAGGGUUGCGCUCGUUGCGGGACUUAACCCAACAUCUCACGACACGAGCUGACGACAGCCAUGCACCACCUGUGCAAGGCCCUUGCGGACCCGACAUCUCUGCCGGAUUUCCCUGCAUGUCAAACCCAGGUAAGGUUCUUCGCGUUGCCUCGAAUUAAUCCACAUGCUCCGCCGCUUGUGCGGGCCCCCGUCAAUUUCUUUGAGUUUUAGCCUUGCGGCCGUACUCCCCAGGCGGGGAACUUAAUGCGUUAGCUUCGGCACGGAACCCGUUGAUAAGGCCCCACACCUAGUUCCCAACGUUUACGGCGUGGACUAC